rnacentral:rRNA from 1 species
UACGUAGGUGGCAAGCGUUGUCCGGAAUUAUUGGGCGUAAAGCGCGCGUAGGCGGUCCCUUAAGUCUGAUGUGAAAGCCCACGGCUCAACCGUGGAGGGUCAUUGGAAACUGGGGGACUUGAGUACAGAAGAGGAAAGCGGAAUUCCACGUGUAGCGGUGAAAUGCGUAGAGAUGUGGAGGAACACCAGUGGCGAAGGCGGCUUUCUGGUCUGUAACUGACGCUGAGGCGCGAAAGCGUGGGGAGCAAACAGG